rnacentral:rRNA from 1 species
UACGUAGGGGGCAAGCGUUGUCCGGAAUCAUUGGGCGUAAAGCGCGCGUAGGCGGCUCGGAAAGUCGGGCGUGAAAUGCCGGGCUCAACCCCGGGACUGCGUCCGAUACUUCCGAGCUGGAGGUAGGUAGGGGAGAUCGGAUUCCUGGUGUAGCGGUGAAAUGCGCAGAUAUCAGGAGGAACACCGGUGGCGAAGGCGGAUC